rnacentral:rRNA from 1 species
UGAUUAGCGGUAAAUACAACAUAUUCUUAAGUAAAUAAGAAUAUAGAUAAAAAUAACAAAUAAGAGAAAAUAUUAGGAUGUUAUUAUAUAUAAUAUCCUUUUCCCUUUUCUUCUUAUUGUUUUUUUAUUCUAUUUCUUUUUUUACAUAAGAAUGUAUUUACUUGAUUGUAAAGCUUCUUAGAGGGACAUUGUGUGUCUAACACAAGGAAGUUUAAGGCAACAACAGGUCUGUGAUGUCCUUAGAUGAACUAGGCUGCACGCGUGCUACACUGAUAUAUAUAACGAGUUAUUAAAAGUAUAUCUUUGCAUAUAUAUAUUCUGUAUAUAUAUACAAAAGAUAUAAUUUUCCUCCACUGAAAAGUGUAGGUAAUCUUUAUCAAUAUAUAUCGUGAUGGGGAUAGAUUAUUGCAAUUAUUAAUCUUGAACGAGGAAUGCCUAGUAAGCAUGAUUCAUCAGAUUGU